ACCGCGCGGGUUGGAACAAAUUUUUGAGUCAGAAUGUUCGCCGCGAGUGGUUACGAUGUCAUCAUACCUAAUUGUUGUCAUGGGUUGUAUGGUUGCAAUCAUGAAAACCUGUGUCGUCAUCACAGCCUGGUGCAGCCGCUCCUGAUGCUCCAAACGAAGUUGGUCAUCCAACCUCUGAACUCGGGGCAGAUCGAUCAUCCCCGACCUCAGAGUGACGCGUCAUUUGACAUCACGGACAAGAUGGCGGCCAGCUCUUCUCAGGCUUGUGUGAACUUUAUGAGUACGGGAUACAGAAAAGAGGAGGCUUAUGGCACCUUUCCAAGUCAUAGUUUGCCAUUUUGAACAUUGCAACAAUACCGUACCGUGGAUGGCAUACCGAGUACUGUAUAAUGGUGGACCUGAUGCUGUUACUUUUCUCACUUUGAACGGAAACCACCCUUUAUCAAGGUGACUCCAGCUCCACAAAUAGCCUGUCCCCUGCUGCCAAAACUAUUCCAAACAUCUGAGGAGGUUCCAGACACGUCAAGCGAAGAAAAGUUUUGUGAUCUGAAUGAAAAGUUUUGUGAAGUGAAAUAAGGCACACGUGACUGUACAGUAUCAACCCUGCCAAAGCACACCACAGCCAAAAGGGUCAGCUUGAAAUAAACUCUCAUCAGAGCCAAGAAAUCCUCUCCAGCACUCUUUCUCAGGUGAGAGCUCAAUCACAGCUCAG